rnacentral:rRNA from 1 species
AGUCGACGCGGGCACUUGUGCCCGAGUGGCGAACGGGUGAGUAAUACAUAAGUAACCUGGCCUUUACAGGGGGAUAACUGCUGGAAACGGCAGCUAAGACCGCAUAGGUAGGGACACUGCAUGGUGACCGUAUUAAAAGUGCUGCAAGGCACUGGUAGAGGAUGGACUUAUGGCGCAUUAGCUGGUUGGUGAGGUAACGGCUCACCAAGGCGACGAUGCGUAGCCGACCUGAGAGGGUGACCGGCCACACUGGGACUGAGACACGGCCCAGACUCCUACGGGAGGCAGCAGUAGGGAAUUUUCGGCAAUGGGGGGAACCCUGACCGAGCAACGCCGCGUGAAGGAAGAAGGAAUUCGUUCUGUAAACUUCUGUUAUAAAGGAAGAAAGACGGAUGGAGGAAAUGACAUCCGAGUGACGGUACUUUAUGAGAAAGCCACGGCUAACUACGUGCCAGCAGCCGCGGUAAUACGUAGGUGGCAAGCGUUAUCCGGAAUUAUUGGGCGUAAAGAGGGAGCAGGCGGCAGCAAAGGUCUGUGGUGAAAGACUGAAGCUUAACUUCAGUAAACCAUAGAAACCGGGCAGCUAGAGUGCAGGAGAGGAUCGUGGAAUUCCAUGUGUAGCGGUGAAAUGCGUAGAUAUAUGGAGGAACACCAGUGGCGAAGGCGACGAUCUGGCCUGCAACUGACGCUCAGUCCCGAAAGCGUGGGGAGCAAAUAGGAUUAGAUACCCUAGUAGUCCACGCCGUANACGAUGAGUACUAAGUGUNGGAAAGUCAAUUUCAGUGCUGC